rnacentral:rRNA from 1 species
ACUACGGGCGGCAGCAGUGAGGAAUAUUGGUCAAUGGGCGGAAGCCUGAACCAGCCAAGUAGCGUGCAGGAUGACGGCCCUACGGGUUGUAAACUGCUUUUAUACGGGAAUAACGCGCCUUACGUGUAGGGCUUUGCAUGUACCGUAUGAAUAAGGACCGGCUAAUUCCGGGCCAGCAGCCGCGGUAAUACGGAAGGUCCGGGCGUUAUCCGGAUUUAUUGGGUUUAAAGGGAGCGUAGGCCGCAUGUCAAGCGUGCUGUGAAAUGUCCGGGCUUAACCCGGGCCUUGCAGCGCGAACUGGCGUGCUUGAGUCCGCGGAAAGCAGGCGGAAUUCGUCGUGUAGCGGUGAAAUGCUUAGAUAUGACGAAGAACCCCGAUUGCGAAGGCAGCUUGCUGCAGCGGAACUGACGCUGAUGCUCGAAAGCGCGGGUAUCGAACAGGAUGAGAUACCCCAGUAGUC